rnacentral:rRNA from 1 species
GACGAACGCUGGCGGCGUGCUUAACACAUGCAAGUCGAGCGGUAAGGCCCUUUCGGGGGUACACGAGCGGCGAACGGGUGAGUAACACGUGGGUGACCUGCCCUCAGCUCUGGGAUAAGCCUGGGAAACCGGGUCUAAUACCGGAUAUGACUCCAUGACGCAUGUUGUGGGGUGGAAAGCCUUGUGCGGCUGAGGAUGGGCCCGCGGCCUAUCAGCUUGUUGGNGG